rnacentral:rRNA from 1 species
AACGUAGGAGGCGAGCGUUAUCCGGAUUCACUGGGCGUAAAGCGCAUGUAGGCGGUUGUGCAAGUCGGACGUGAAAGCCCCUGGCUCAACUGGGGGAGGAGGUUCGAGACUGCGCGACUUGAGGGUAGCAGAGGAGAGUGGAACUCCCGGUGUAGCGGUGGAAUGCGUAGAGAUCGGGAAGAACACCAGUGGCGAAGGCGACUCUCUGGGCUACGACUGACGUUGAGAUGCGAAAGCGUGGGGAGCAAACGGG